rnacentral:rRNA from 1 species
CCUGCCGGACCUGACUGCUAUCGGAUUGAUACUAAGCCAUGCGAGUCAUUGUAGCAAUACAAGGCAGACGGCUCAGUAACGCGUAGUCAACCUACCCUAUGGACGGGAAUAACCUCGGGAAACUGAGAAUAAUGCCCGAUAGAACACUAUGCCUGGAAUGGUUUGUGUUCCAAAUGAUUUAUCGCCGUAGGAUGGGACUGCGUCCUAUCAGUUUGUUGGUGAGGUAAUGGCCCACCAAGACUAUUACAGGUACGGGCUCUGAGAGGAGUGGCCCGGAGAUGGGUACUGAGACACGGACCCAGGCCCUAUGGGGCGCAGCAGGCGAGAAAACUUUGCAAUGUGCGAAAGCACGACAAGGUUAAUCCGAGUGGUUUCUGCUAAAGGAACCUUUUGUUAGUCCUAGAAACACUGACGAAUAAGGGGUGGGCAAGUUCUGGUGUCAGCCGCCGCGGUAAAACCAGCACCUCAAGUGGUCAGGAUGAUUAUUGGGCCUAAAGCAUCCGUAGCCUGCUUUGUUAGUUUUCGGUUAAAUCUGUACGCUCAACGUACAGGCUGCCGGGAAUACUGCAAAGCUAGGGAGUGGGAGAGGUAGACGGUACUCGGUAGGAAGGGGUAAAAUCCUUUGAUCUAUUGAUGACCACCUGUGGCGAAGGCGGUCUACCAGAACACGUCCGACGGUGAGGGAUGAAAGCUGGGGGAGCAAACCGGAUUAGAUACCCGGGUAGUCCCAGCUGUAAACCAUGCAAACUCAGUGAUGCAUUGGCUUGUGGCCAAUGCAGUGCUGCAGGGAAGCCGUUAAGUUUGCCGCCUGGGAAGUACGUACGCAAGUAUGAAACUUAAAGGAAUUGGCGGGGGAGCACCACAA